CCUACGGGUGGCAGUAGUGGGGAAUAUUGCACAAUGGGGGAAACCCUGACGCAGCGACGCCGCGUGAGGGAAGAAGUAAUUCGGUACGUAAACCUCUAUUAUCAGGGAAGAAAAUGAUGGUAGUUGACUAAGAAGACCCGGCUAACUACAUGCCAGCAGCCGCGGUAAUACGUAGGGGGCAAGCGGUAUCCGGAUUAACUGGGUGUAAAGGGAGCGUAGACGGCAGCGCAAGUCUGGAGUGAAAUCCUAUGGCUUAACCAUGGAACUGCUUUGGAAACUGUGCAGCUAGAGUGCAGGAGAGGUAAGCGGAAUUCCUUGUGUAGCGGUGAAAUGCGUAGAUAUUAGGAGGAACACCAGUGGCGAAGGCGGCUUACUGGACUGUAACUGACGUUGAGGCGCGAAAGCGUGGGGAGCAAACAGGAUUAGAUACCCGGGUAGUC
rnacentral:rRNA from 1 species